GGAGAGACAAGGAGACCUGCUUGGGGACCAACUGCUUUCCUACCAGGCACUGCAUUCUCUGACAGAUUGGAUUGGUUGAGAUAUGGCUUGGUCAGAGUGUGUGGAAUGAAUGACAUUUGUGGAUGUUGACAUUAGCCAGGCUAUUUGGAAUAUUUUACAGGAAUCCCAGCUCCCUCCCAGCUGAACUGUUCCCCUGAGACAAUACUCACC
ensembl:lncRNA